AGAGUUUGAUCAUGGCUCAGGAUGAACGUUGGUAGUAUGACUAAGACAUGCAAGUCGAACGACGAAAAGUGACAAUCUGAAAAGGAGCAAUCCCGAGUAAGAAUGUUACCGAGUAAGAGCGGCGAACGGGUGAGUAAUGCUUAUCUUACCUGCCAUUUAGUGGGGGAUACCUUGUAGGAAGCUCUUGAUAAUACCGCAUAUUCUGGCUUUGGCCAGGAAAGGAAGUCGCAAGACUUUCGCUAAAUGAUGGGGAUAAGUCGUAUCAGCCAAUGAAAGUAGGGUAAUGGCCUACUGAGGCAAUGACGCGUAGCCGGCCUGAGAGGGUGAUCGGCCACAAGGGAACUGAGACACGGUCCCUACUCCUACGGGAGGCAGCAGUUAUGAAUCUUCGGCAAUGGGGGAAACCCUGACCGAGCAAUACUACGUGAAGGAAGAAGGUCUACGGAUUGUAAACUUCUAUGGGUAGGCUUGCCUACCCUGAAAAAGUCACGACUAACUACGUGCCAGCAGUCGCGGUAAGACGUAGGUGGCGAACGUUAUCCGGAAUUAUUGGGCGUAAAGGGUGCGUAGAUGGCCGGGCAAGUUGGCAGUGGCAAAUCGAGGCCUAACCUCGUGGAAGCUGGUAAUACUGCUAGGCUUGAGUGCAGGAGAGGUUAACGGAACUCCAUGUAGAGGGGUAAAAUCCAUGGAUAUGUGGAUGAACACCAAUAACGGCGAAGGCAGUUAACUAUUCUGCUACUGACAUUGAGGCACGAAAGCGUGGGGAGCAAAACGGAUUAGAUACCCUAGUAGUCC
rnacentral:rRNA from 1 species